CAAUAUCGCAUGAUGAGUUUCUUUAACCUUACCUACAUUGUCUGAUUUCUGUAAUGAUUUCACACCAAUCUCUGAGAUAUUG
rnacentral:snoRNA from 1 species